rnacentral:rRNA from 1 species
GGGACACGUGAAACCCUGUGGGAAGCAGGAGGGACCACCCUCCAAGGCUAAAUACUACCUAGUGACCGAUAGCGUAUAGUACCGUGAGGGAAAGGUGAAAAGAACCCCGGGAGGGGAGUGAAAUAGAACCUGAAACCCUGCACUUACAAGCUGUGGAAGCACAUUUCUUGUGUGACCGCGUACUUUUUGUAGAACGGGCCAACGAGUUACGUUAAGUAGCAAGGUUAAGCACUUAAGGUGCGGAGCCGUAGCGAAAGCGAGUUUUAACUGAGCGUUCAGUUACUUGACGUAGACCCGAAACCGGGCGACCUACCCAUGAGCAGGAUGAAGCGAAAGUAAAAUUUCGUGGAGGUCCGAACCCACGAGCGUUGAAAAGCUCGGGGAUGACUUGUGGGUAGCGGUGAAAUUCCAAUCGAGCCCGGAGAUAGCUGGUUCUCCCCGAAAUAGCUUUAGGGCUAGCCUCAAGGUGAGAGAUACGGAGGUAGAGCACUGAAUGUCCUAGGGGGUAUUGCACCUACCGAAGACUAUCAAACUCCGAAUGCCGUCAUCUUAUACUUGGGAGUCAGACUGUGGGUGAUAAGAUUCAUAGUCGAAAGGGCAACAGCCCAGAUCGUCAGCUAAGGUCCCUAAAUGUAAGUUAAGUGGUAAAGGAUGUGGGAUUGCACAGACAACCAGGAUGUUGGCUUAGAAGCAGCCACUCAUUCAAAGAGUGCGUAAUAGCUCACUGGUCGAGUGAUCCUGCGCCGAAGAUUUCCGGGGCUAAAACUUACUACCGAAGCUACGGCAUCAGUAAUGAUGGGUAGGGGAGCUUCCCAUACGGGUUGAAGCAUGACCGUAAGGACAUGUGGACAGUAUGGGAGUGAGAAUGUUGGCAUGAGUAGCGAGAUGUGGGUGAGAAUCCCACAGGCCGUAAACCCAAGGUUUCCAGGGGAAGGUUCGUCCGCCCUGGGUUAGUCGGGACCUAAGCUGAGGCCGAAAGGCGUAGGUGAUGGACAACAGGUUGAUAUUCCUGUACUACCGAUAACCGUUUGAGAGAAGGGAUGACACAGUAGGAUAAGCUAAGCACACUGUUGGUUAUGUGUGCCCAAGCAUUGAGGCAGUCAAAGUAGGCAAAUCCGCUUUGAUAAUGCUGGGAUGUGAUGGGGAGCGAAAUUUAGUAGCGAAGUAGCUGAUUUCACACUGUCAAGAAAAGUCUCUAUCGAGGUUAAAGGUACCCGUACCGCAAACCGACACAGGUGGGUGAGGAGAGUAUCCUAAGGCCAGCGAGAGAACUGUUGUUAAGGAACUCGGCAAAAUGACCCCGUAACUUAGGGAUAAGGGGUGCCACCAUCAGGUGGCCGCAGAGAAUAGGCCCAAGCGACUGUUUACCAAAAACAUAGGUUUCUGCUAAGUCGCAAGACGAUGUAUAGGAGCUGACGCCUGCCCGGUGCUGGAAGGUUAAGGGGAUCUGUUAGAGCAAUCGAAGCAGUGAACUUAAGCCCCAGUAAACGGCGGCCGUAACUAUAACGGUCCUAAGGUAGCGAAAUUCCUUGUCGGGUAAGUUCCGACCCGCACGAAAGGCGUAACGAUUUGGGCACUGUCUCAACAACAGACUCGGUGAAAUUGUAAUUCCGGUGAAGAUGCCGGAUACCUGCGACAGGACGGAAAGACCCCAUGGAGCUUUACUGUAGCUUGACAUUGGGUCUUGGUACUACAUGUACAGGAUAGGUGGGAGGCUUUGAAACCAGGACGCCAGUUUUGGCGGAGCCAUCCUUGGGAUACCACCCUUGUAGUACUGGGACUCUAACCAUAGGCCAUGAAUCUGGUCUUGGGACACUGUCAGGUGGGCAGUUUGACUGGGGCGGUCGCCUCCCAAAAGGUAACG